rnacentral:rRNA from 1 species
UGGGGAAUAUUGCACAAUGGGCGCAAGCCUGAUGCAGCCAUGCCGCGUGUAUGAAGAAGGCCUUCGGGUUGUAAAGUACUUUCAGCGGGGAGGAAGGUGUUGUGGUUAAUAACCGCAGCAAUUGACGUUACCCGCAGAAGAAGCACCGGCUAACUCCGUGCCAGCAGCCGCGGUAAUACGGAGGGUGCAAGCGUUAAUCGGAAUUACUGGGCGUAAAGCGCACGCAGGCGGUCUGUCAAGUCUGAUGUGAAAUCCCCGGGCUCAACCUGGGAACUGCAUUCGAAACUGGCAGGCUAGAGUCUUGUAGAGGGGGGUAGAAUUCCAGGUGUAGCGGUGAAAUGCGUAGAGAUCUGGAGGAAUACCGGUGGCGAAGGCGGCCCCCUGGACAAAGACUGACGCUCAGGUGCGAAAGCGUGGGGAGCAAACA